UCACUACUCCAUACGCUCCAAAACAAACCGCUAAUUUCAUUCAUUUUAUCCCAGCCCAUACGUACUGCGCUGCAGCCGCGUUUGAGUUUUUCGGCGACGGCGGUGUUUUGCUGGAUGUUUUCGGCGUGAGCGGAAAAUGCAAUGGCCGGCUGCUGUGCUGUCGGGUGCAGCAACAGCACUAAAAAAGGAUUCCGCCUUUUCAAACUGCCAAGAGACAGGGUACGGCGCAAAAUAUGGGUGGCAAAAAUCAAGAGGGCCAUGUGGAAACCCACUGAUCGAAUGAUGCUGUGUGAGGCUCACUUCGAAUUGUCACAGUUUGAAAUGAACAGAAAGGAUGGAUGGAGAAAACUUAAACCUACAGCCGUCCCGUCCUUAUUUGCACACAAUGCGCCCAAGGGACCUGUGAAGGGGAGAAAGCCACCAAAGGAACGAGUUGCUACAAAUGACAAAGCACUGGACAGUCUACAAGUACUGAGUCUGGGUCGGUUACACAGGCACAGAGGCUAUCUUCUCUGGCUAUCAUCAUCACCGAAGUGGGGAUAAAACCCAACCAGGUGCC